UUAAUACUCUCUUCGUCCGAAAAUACUUAUCAUCAAAAUGGAUAAAAGGGAUGUAUCUAGACGUAUUUUAGUUUGAGAUACAUCUUUUUUUGUCCAUUUCGAUGACAAGUAUUUUCGGAUGGAGGGAGUAGAUG
rnacentral:pre_miRNA from 1 species